rnacentral:rRNA from 1 species
ACGCUCGACACCUACGGGAGGCAGCAGUGGGGAAUAUUGCACAAUGGGGGAAACCCUGAUGCAGCGACGCCGCGUGGAGGAAGAAGGUCUUCGGAUUGUAAACUCCUGUUGUUGGGGAAAAAGAGGAUGGUACCCAACAAGGAAGUGACGGCUAACUACGUGCCAGCAGCAGGAGUAUNGNGGCGGNGNGAGAG